rnacentral:rRNA from 1 species
UACGAAGGGAGCUAGCGUUGUUCGGAAUUACUGGGCGUAAAGGGCGCGUAGGCGGUUUAGGAAGUCAGAUGUGAAAGCCCCGGGCUUAACCUGGGAACAGCAUUUGAUACUGCUAGACUUGAGAUCGAAAGAGGAGAGUGGAAUUGCGAGUGUAGAGGUGAAAUUCGUAGAUAUUCGCAGGAACACCAGUGGCGAAGGCGACUCUCUGGUUCGAUACUGACGCUAAGGCGCGCAAGCGUGGGGAGCAAUCAGG